AUUGAACGCUGGCGGCAGGCCUAACACAUGCAAGUCGAACGGUUACAGGAAGCUUCUUGCUUCUUUGCUGACGAGUCGCGUGCGUGUUAGUUAUGUCUCUGCCUCUUCCUGAUGGAUGGCGUUCACUACUGGACACUGUUGCUACUUCCGCCUUGCGUCGCAAGACCAAGGAUCUUGACAUUUCGCCCUCUUGCCUUCGCCUGUGUCCAGAUGGGAUUAGCUAGUAGGUGGGGUAACGGCUCACCUAGGCGACGAUCUCUACCUGGUCUGAGAGGAUGAACAGCCACACUGGAACUGAGACACGGUCCAGACUCCUACGGGAGGCAGCAGUGGGGAAUAUUGCACAAUGGGCGCAAGCCUGAUGCAGCCAUGCCGCGUGUAUGAAGAAGGCCUUCGGAUUGUAAAGUACUUUCAGCGGGGAGGAAGGGAGGAAAGUUAAUACCUUGGCGCAUUGACGUUACCAGCAGAAGAAGCACCGGCUAACUCCGUG
rnacentral:rRNA from 1 species